GCCUUUGUGGUGUAGUGGUCAGCACACUCGGUGCGUAUUCGAGAGGUCCGAGGUUCGAAUCCCGGCGAGGGAU
rfam:Stegodyphus mimosarum contig112101, whole genome shotgun sequence.